UACUUUUAAGAAAAUAAAUUUUGGUUGUAUAAGCCAUCCAGUCAGUGGUACUUGGUUAUGGCACCCCUAGCAAAAGAAUACAAAAAAAGGGAGAAUGUUUGCAAUCAUCUGUUUGAAGCUAGGAAUUCCCAGAGAGGGAAACAAGGAGUAAUCAUGGAAAUCAACUACUUAAUUCAGAUUCAGUGGCAGUGAAGAUGAAAACCAGCUUUCACCUAAGUAAGGAGAUUGACAUCAUAAUGAGAUUGACAUCAUAAUGAGAUUAAGUCCCUUCACUCCAGAAAGUGAGGCCCUAAUACAGAAUUCAAAGAUACAACUAAGGUUUGCAGAGAUGAGGUGAUAUUCUCCUACACUUUAUCGUGCAGUUUUGUAAGGCACUUUGCCCUGAGACGUCUGGCUGAUCCAAGAAAAGACACUGAUUUUCUGAUUCUUCAGUUUUUCCCCUUGUUUUAAAGAUGGCACCAGUAACUUUCAUUCUGCUUAUGUAUCAGAGAGCUGCUCAUGGGAAUGUGAUAGAGAGGAAGAGAAGCUGGGGACACCCCUCUCUAAGCCGUAAAUGGAGGGCAAGCAUCAAAGUGGGCCACUACAUAGCGUCUCUGAUGGGAGUUACAAAUUGGUGAGUAGGGGCUAGGACUUUUUGUGCAUAUGUAUAUCAUGUAUGACUCUGUGGCAGUCACUGUGCCACUGAGUAAAUUAUUCCUGUCAUUUACUGUUAUCACCACAGUAUACACAAUAUCCUUAUAAAUUAUAUACUUUUUUUUCUUCCAUUUGGCAGAAGGUGAAAUUGAGGCAUAAGAGGUUAAAUAACUGGCCAAAAUGCUUGGAGCUGUAGUUCAAACCAAAUGUGCCUGACAUAAU
ensembl:lincRNA